UAGUGCCUGGCACAUGCAGUCCAGCCUCUGUUGCCUGUCAAGCAAGUCUGUGUAGGCCAGAUUGAUUCAAACCAGAUCUACUUCCAGGCCCUGUUUCACACCGUUUCCAAUAGGAUAUGAAUCAGACAAGAUACCAUCAACCAAGCAUUCAGUCAGGAAACAGGGCCCUGGUCAGACUUUUGGGGUGACCUGCCUUACACGGCCAGGAUCCAGCUCUAGUGACAGCAUCUAUUAUAAUGCUGAGGAAUGGGAACACACUAAAAACUCACAAAGUGUGCUUUGGAGCCAGGCGGCCGGCAGCCAUGGGAAGCGUGCUAAGUGUGGAAAUUCCUUCAAGCCUUUCAAGCAACUCAAAGUCAUAAGCUAAGGAGAGAUUUCAAAACUCCAAAGAGAAAUUCCACUUUCCUUUUCCUCAGCUCCAGUCUUUCCAUUCCAAACACGAGUCCUGCUGGUUUGAGCCACUUCAUGAAUGUGGGAUUGUUAGGGUCGUUGCAGAGACUUGCCACUAUUUUUCUUAGGU
ensembl:lncRNA MSRB3-AS1 MSRB3 antisense RNA 1